rnacentral:snRNA from 1 species
ACACACACUUUGAUCAGUAUGAUGGCUAUAAACUUAGAUUUUUAGCAUGGCCCCUGCGCAAGGAUGACGCAAAUUCAUGAGGCAUUCCAUAUUUUA